CAUUAAUGAAUUGUAAUUGGGGUUGAUGCUGGCAGUGGCUGCAUGUGCUCGCUCCUAACAAUCUUCAUCCAAACACCUGUGCACAUUUAGAGAGGGUCUCCGAGUUCUCCUUGGAGUCCCUUCCUCUCAUUAUACACUAGUUUUUAAUAUUGAACGUGAUUGUGCCGUGAGGCCUUAAUAUUAAUACAACUUUUAACAACGGAUCUCUUGGCUCUCGCAUCGAUGAAGAACGCAGCGAAAUGCGAUAAGUAAUGUGAAUUGCAGAAUUCAGUGAGUCAUCGAAUUUUUGAACGCACCUUGCGCUCCCUGGUAUUCCGGGGAGCACGCCUGUUCGAGUGUCGUAAAAUUCUCAAACUGGGAUGCUUUUUUGUUUCUCGGCUUGGUGUUGGGCUUUGCAGUUCCUUUGAUUGGGAUAGCUGGCCUCAAAAGCAUUAGCUGGCUUUUCAUGUGGCAUUGGUUCUACUCAGCGUGAUAAUGAUCUGACCGCCGAGGACAUCUUUCGGGAUGGCCAAUUCUCAUUUGGGCUGCUUCUAAUUUUGGUAGAGCGGAUUCUGAAUCUGUUCCACUUUUCAGCUUUUGACCUCGAAUCAGGUGGGACUACCC
rnacentral:rRNA from 1 species